GGGCUGAUGAUCUGUGCGAGGCAUUUGCCUGAUAAAGAAUGAUGCUGACCGUUUGACCUGAU
rnacentral:snoRNA from 1 species